rnacentral:lncRNA from 1 species
CCCUUCGUAUGUUUUGUAUAUAGAAAAAUGAAAAAUUUUGCAUAACCAUUACCUAAAUAUUAUUGGCCUCGCAGAUUUGAAAUCACAUAGAAAAGUUUAAGAAAAGCCUAGAUAAUUGCAUGCGAUACUUAUAUAAGAACUGAGAAGAUGCGGUAUGAUUUCCAAAGAGACAACUCUCCACAAAAGACCAAAUGACGAAGGAGUUAGCAAUUAUAGGUCACUAUAAGAUCUUCAGCAAUGAGCAAAACCCUUCCCCAAAUAUUAAGCUGUAAAGGGUCUUAAAGUUACAAAUGUUUGAGACUGAUCGAGUAUUAGUUCAGACUUUUAAGUAUUGUCUAGAUUGUGGUCGAGUACAAAUCAGUACAUACAAGUAUGGUUAAGAUUGGGGUCAAGUAAAUUUCCAGUAAAAUUUAGACUUAUUCAGAAUGAUCGAGUAAUAAUCAGUACAGUAGAGUACAAUUACUGCUAAUUUUAGACUUUCUGGUUUGUAAUGAUGGGUAAAAGUAAGAUUUACAGAAAGUAAAAUAGAACAUCUCUAUAUCAUACUACUACUAUAUAUACCUACUGAAAAAUAUGCACAGUGUCACAGACUUUCAAUCAGUACCUAAAGUAAAAUGUAAAUCCCGUAAGUAGUCAGUACUUCAAUAAGACAGCAACCAGACAACAACACAAGGCCAAAAGAAAAUUAAAAAGGAAAAGACAUCUUAUGAUAUGCAUUUGUAGAGGGGGGCAGGGGUCCUGAUCCUGAAAUCCCGGACUUUGAAACAUGAAAUCCCGAGUCCAGAAUUUAUAGAAAUUUAAAUCCCGCCAUCCCGAAAUUCGAAAAAAGAAUAGCCGGAUCCAGAAAGGAUCAAUCCCGAAAUCCCGUGCUUAAAAACACCCGAUCCCGGAGUCCCGUUAAAGGUCCCCCUUUUUUGUGUAGAUGGACUAAAUAACAAAACACAAUAUUUCCAGUCAUGUCUCAGCCUGUGUGCGAUUGUUUUUUUCUUGUUUUUUUUUUUUUGGUUGGGGGGGGGGGGGGGGGUAUUUUUGUAGGCAUAUUAAACAUAAAUAUGUACAUCUGUUUUCAUGUCACAUCUCAAACUCCGUAUGUUUGGUUUCCUUGGAAAUGUUUUUACACGAUAUAUUUUCUGGAAAAUACACUGUACUACAAAGACCGUGCAAUGUCUUGAGAGAAAGCGAAAUUCAGAGAGAAGCACAUUAAUUUAUUGUCACAUAUAAUUAGAUCUCAAAGGGAGUUGCAGAAUAACGGAUACUGGCGAAUGUCAAAAUUGAACAAAAAAGUUUGCAAAAUUAUAAAGAAUAACAACGGAAAAUAAAAUAAUUAUUUAAUACAAUAGUGUAGACCAUGUACUGAAUUAAGAAAUCA